UACGUAGGGUGCAAGCGUUGUCCGGAAUUAUUGGGCGUAAAGAGCUCGUAGGCGGUCAGUCGCGUCUGCUGUGAAAACUCGGGGCUUAACUCCGGGCCUGCAGUGGGUACGGGCUGACUAGAGUGCGGUAGGGGAGACUGGAAUUCCUGGUGUAGCGGUGGAAAUGCGUAGAGAUCCGGAAGAACACCGGUGGCGAAGGCGGUCUGCUGGGCCAAGACUGACGCUGAGGCGCGACAGCG
rnacentral:rRNA from 1 species